UACGAAGGGUGCAAACGUUGCUCGGAAUUAUUGGGCGUAAAGCGCACGUAGGCGGUUUUGCAAGUCGGAUGUGAAAUCCCUCGGCUUAACCAAGGAAGUGCAUCCGAAACUGCUGUACUUGAGUACGAAAGAGGAUCGCGGAAUUCCCGGUGUAGAGGUGAAAUUCGUAGAUAUCGGGAGGAACACCAGUGGCGAAGGCGGCGAUCUGGGUCGAUACUGACGCUGAGGUGCGAAAGCGUGGGGAGCAAACAGG
rnacentral:rRNA from 1 species